UACGAAGGGGGCUAGCGUUGUUCGGAUUUACUGGGCGUAAAGCGCACGUAGGCGGGUUGUUAAGUCAGGGGUGAAAUCCUGGAGCUCAACUCCAGAACUGCCUUUGAUACUGGCAACCUAGAGGCUGGAAGAGGUUAGUGGAAUUCCCAGUGUAGAGGUGAAAUUCGUAGAUAUUGGGAAGAACACCAGUGGCGAAGGCGGCUCACUGGCCCGGUACUGACGCUGAUGUGCGAAAGCGUGGGGAGCAAACAGG
rnacentral:rRNA from 1 species